rfam:Lingula anatina scaffold524, whole genome shotgun sequence.
GUCAGGAUGGCCGAGCGGUCUAAGGCGCCAGACUCAAGGUGAUCCUUACCUGUUGCCGCGCAGGUGUGAGUGUUCUGGUCCACGAAUGUGGGCGUGGGUUCGAAUCCCACUCCUGACA